UAGGGAAUCUUCGGCAAUGGGGGGAACCCUGACCGAGCAACGCCGCGUGAGUGAAGAAGGUUUUCGGAUCGUAAAGCUCUGUUGUAAGAGAAGAACGUGUGUGAGAGUGGAAAGUUCACACAGUGACGGUAACUUACCAGAAAGGGACGGCUAACUACGUGCCAGCAGCCGCGGUAAUAAGUAGGUCCCGAGAGUUGUCAGGGUUUAUUGGGCGUAAAGCGAGCGCAGGCGGGUUGAUAAGUCUGAAGUAAAAGGCUGUGGCUUAACCAUAGUAUGCUUUGGAAACUGUCAAACUUGAGUGCAGAAGGGGAGAGUGGAAUUCCAUGUGUAGCGGUGAAAUGCGUAGAUAUAUGGAGGAACACCGGUGGCGAAAGCGGCUCUCUGGUCUGUAACUGACGCUGAGGCUCGAAAGCGUGGGGAGCAAACA
rnacentral:rRNA from 1 species